rnacentral:misc_RNA from 1 species
GAUGAAGAACGUAGCGAAAUGCGAUAAGUAAUGUGAAUUGCAGAAUUCAGUGAAUCAUCGAAUCUUUGAACGCACCUUGCGCCCUUUGGCCAUUCCGAAGGGCAUGCCUGUUUGAGUAUCAUGAACACCUCAACUCUUCAUGGUUUUCCGUGAUGAGCUUGGACUUUGGGGGUCUUGCUGGCCUAUGGUCAGCUCCUCUAAAAUAAAUCAGCUUGCCAGUGUUUGGUGGGUAUCACAGGUGUGAUAACUAUCUACGCUUGUGGUUCUCCACCAGGUAACCUUCAGCAGUGGAGGUUCGCUGGAGCUCACAGAUGUGUCUCUCCUCAGUGAGGACAGCUCUUUGAAUGUUUGAUCUCAAAUCAGGUAGGACUACCCGCUGAACUUAAGCAUAUCAAUAAGCGGAGGA